rnacentral:rRNA from 1 species
AAAUUGAAGAGUUUGAUCAUGGCUCAGAUUGAACGCUGGCGGCAGGCCUAACACAUGCAAGUCGAGCGGAAACGACACUAACAAUCCUUCGGGUGCGUUAAUGGGCGUCGAGCGGCGGACGGGUGAGUAAUGCCUAGGAAAUUGCCUUGAUGUGGGGGAUAACCAUUGGAAACGAUGGCUAAUACCGCAUAAUGCCUACGGGCCAAAGAGGGGGAUCUUCGGACCUCUCGCGUCAAGAUAUGCCUAGGUGGGAUUAGCUAGUUGGUGAGGUAAUGGCUCACCAAGGCGACGAUCCCUAGCUGGUCUGAGAGGAUGAUCAGCCACACUGGAACUGAGACACGGUCCAGACUCCUACGGGAGGCAGCAGUGGGGAAUAUUGCACAAUGGGCGAAAGCCUGAUGCAGCCAUGCCGCGUGUAUGAAGAAGGCCUUCGGGUUGUAAAGUACUUUCAGUUGUGAGGAAGGG